rnacentral:rRNA from 1 species
UAGCGUUGCUCGGAAUCACUGGGCGUAAAGCGCACGUAGGCGGUUAGUUAAGUUGGAUGUGAAAGCCCCGGGCUCAACCUGGGAAUUGCAUUCAAAACUGGCUAACUAGAGUAUGUGAGAGGGGGGUAGAAUUCCAAGUGUAGCGGUGAAAUGCGUAGAGAUUUGGAGGAAUACCAGUGGCGAAGGCGGCCCCCUGGCACAAUACUGACGCUGAGGUGCGAAAGCGUGGGGAGCAAACAG